UACAGGGGGUGCAAACGUUGCUCGGAAUUAUUGGGCGUAAAGCGCGCGCAGGCGGCCUUUUAAGUCUGAUGUGAAAGCCCACGGCUCAACCGUGGAAGGUCAUUGGAAACUGAAAGGCUUGAGUACAGAAGAGGAAAGCGGAAUUCCACGUGUAGCGGUGAAAUGCGUAGAGAUGUGGAGGAACACCAGUGGCGAAGGCGGCUUUCUGGUCUGUAACUGACGCUGAGGCGCGAAAGCGUGGGGAGCAAACAGG
rnacentral:rRNA from 1 species